AGUGAACGCUGGCGGUAGGCCUAACACAUGCAAGUCGAACGGCAGCACAGUAAGAGCUUGCUCUUACGGGUGGCGAGUGGCGGACGGGUGAGGAAUACAUCUGAAUCUACUUUUUCGUGGGGGAUAACGUAGGGAAACUUACGCUAAUACCGCAUACGACCUACGGGUGAAAGCAGGGGAUCUUCGGACCUUGCGCGAUUGAAUGAGCCGAUGUCGGAUUAGCUAGUUGGCGGGGUAAAGGCCCACCAAGGCGACGAUCCGUAGCUGGUCUGAGAGGAUGAUCAGCCACACUGGAACUGAGACACGGUCCAGACUCCUACGGGAGGCAGCAGUGGGGAAUAUUGGACAAUGGGCGCAAGCCUGAUCCAGCCAUACCGCGUGGGUGAAGAAGGCCUUCGGGUUGUAAAGCCCUGUUGUUGGGAAAGAAAAGCAGCAGGUGAAUACCCCGCUGUUCUGACGGUACCCAAAGAAUAAGCACCGGCUAACUUCGUG
rnacentral:rRNA from 1 species